ensembl:snRNA U1 U1 spliceosomal RNA
AUGAUUAUCUGGCCAGGACGAUACUAUGAUUAACAAAGUGAUUUUACCAUUACCCUUCAGAUGUACUGACCCUGAGAUUUCCACCAGUGGGGGAAAUUUGUGGUAUAGUUUGUGGUAGUAGGGUGCUAUAAUCAUGCUCUCCUCUU